rnacentral:tRNA from 1 species
CCCUGGUGGCGCAGAUGGCAAAGCAUCUGCCUACAAUGCAGGAGACCCAGGUUAGAUUCCUGGGUCAGGAA